AUCCAGCCGACGUGUCCUAAAUAGGAUGAGAUGCGCGUCCUGGAU
rnacentral:hammerhead_ribozyme from 1 species